rnacentral:rRNA from 1 species
AUGUUGAGCGGUGCACCUAGCAAGCCACAGAUGCGUAUAGGUGCAAAUCGAGCAACACGGGAAGCCAAAGGCGCCCAACCUGAUGAGUUUACUCCGUUGAAUGACGAGGAUGUGACUAGUAAUAAUGAAGACGAAGCAACAACAGAGAUUGCCGAUUAUAUCCAACUGCGCGAAAAAUUCCAUGGCUUAAUAGUAAACAUCCUAAAGGGGAUUGAUAUUUUCAUUGCCUCCGGUGAUGGUAGAGCUCCAAUGGAAGCAUCUGUCAUGUCGUGCAACGUUAACGUUACCAUUGCGUUUGGGGAUCUUGGCAGUAAAUUCAGGUUUACUUGUGAAGACAAAAACCCUGCGAUCCCUUCUUCAGCGGAACAGGUACCUCCCUCCCACGGUCCUUCUUCAGCGGAACAGGGCAUGAACGACUGUGGCACCCAAAAUUUCCACGUAAAGUACUUGGGCAACAUCAACGGAGCAUCAGCUGAUGGUAUGGAGGACGAAAACGAAUCGCUGGACCCAAAGGACUAA